rnacentral:rRNA from 1 species
UACGUAGGGUGCAAGCGUUGUCCGGAAUUAUUGGGCGUAAAGAGCUCGUAGGCGGUCUGUUGCGUCCGCUGUGAAAACUCGGGGCUUAACCCCGAGCCUGCAGUGGAUACGGGCAGACUAGAGGUAGGUAGGGGAGAAUGGAAUUCCCGGUGUAGCGGUGAAAUGCGCAGAUAUCGGGAGGAACACCGGUGGCGAAGGCGGGUCUCUGGGCCGAUACUGACGCUGAGGAGCGAAAGCGUGGGGAGCGAACAGG